UGUCUGAUAAUCCUGAAUUUAUUUGCGAGCUGGACGACAUGAUGAUCUAGCACCAUGUAAAUUCAGCAUUUGAAUUC
rfam:Nippostrongylus brasiliensis genome assembly, scaffold: NBR_scaffold0000339